GAUGAACGCUGGCGGCGAGCUUAACACAUGCAAGUCGAGCGUAGCAGUUAAGAAGAUUCUUCGGAUGAUUCUUGACUGACUGAGCGGCGGACGGGUGAGUAACGCGUGGGUGACCUGCCCCAUACCGGGGGAUAACAGCUGGAAACGGCUGCUAAUACCGCAUAAGCGCACAGAGCUGCAUGGCUCGGUGUGAAAAACUCCGGUGGUAUGGGAUGGGCCCGCGUCUGAUUAGGCAGUUGGCGGGGUAACGGCCCACCAAACCGACGAUCAGUAGCCGGCCUGAGAGGGCGACCGGCCACAUUGGGACUGAGACACGGCCCAAACUCCUACGGGAGGCAGCAGUGGGGAAUAUUGCACAAUGGGGGAAACCCUGAUGCAGCGACGCCGCGUGAGCGAAGAAGUAUUUCGGUAUGUAAAGCUCUAUCAGCAGGGAAGAUAAUGACGGUACCUGACUAAGAAGCCCCGGCUAACUACGUGCCAGCAGCCGCGGUAAUACGUAGGGGGCAAGCGUUAUCCGGAUUUACUGGGUGUAAAGGGAGCGUAGACGGCAAGGCAAGUCUGAUGUGAAAACCCAGGGCUUAACCCUGGGACUGCAUUGGAAACUGUCUGGCUCGAGUGCCGGAGAGGUAAGCGGAAUUCCUAGUGUAGCGGUGAAAUGCGUAGAUAUUAGGAAGAACACCAGUGGCGAAGGCGGCUUACUGGACGGUAACUGACGUUGAGGCUCGAAAGCGUGGGGAGCAAACAGGAUUAGAUACCCUGGUAGUCCACGCCGUAA
rnacentral:rRNA from 1 species